GCCGGAGCCGCUGGAGCCGGAGCCGCUGGAGCCGGUUUGGGGUCAAUCAUUCUGGGGAAGGCAGAUGCCACGUCAUUGAAGACAUCCAAGCAGCUUCACAGAGAGGUCCACAAGCUCAGAGUGCCUCAUCCUGUUCUUCAUCCUGAAUUCAGGGACUGCAGUAGC